GAAUAUCCAAGCGAACAACAUCCUGCUUCCUGCUGGCGACUUUAUUAUUUAAAACACGUCAUUUAAUCAUUAGUUCAAAACGUGUAGCUCACCGAGAAACAAGUAAAAUGUAUUUACUUAGUGGAUUUCUAUUUCUCGGAAUCAUCACCGCCAAAUGUUCGCAAUUAUAUCAUUACCCAAUCGGAGAAAUAAGUAAUGCUAGAUUGACGUGCACUAAUGAUUCCUCUGUAACACCAGAAUGUGUCACUAGCUGCGCUUUGGACAAAGCCCACGUGUUAACACCCUCAGGAGAUGGAAUAAAUCCUUAUGAAUUUGGACCUUUUUAUAAAGCAUUUGCAGAGGAUUGUUUCAUUUACAAAGCAAAACCAACUUGUGAGGAGGCAGAAGCUUUCGUUAGGUGUUUCCACAACAAAUCAAAUGAUGCCCCUAAAGCAGUAAUGGAAGAGUGUAUGAAAGAGUUUCCUCUUGAAAAUGUAGAAUCAGUUAAAGUAAAUGAAGAAGAAAUGAGCAAAAAUGAAAACUUGGCUUGUUUUGUAGCUUGUGUAAGUGACAAAAGCCACGACUUCACUGACGACGAUGAAAUUAAUUUAGCGGCUGUCAAUCCGCACAUAAAAUUUAAGUUUGAUGCUUUUAAAGCUGCUACACAGUGUCAAGAAAAAUAUAAAGAAGGGAGUAAGUGUCUUAAAAGAGCGAAUAUUUACAUGUGUUUUGUUGCGGCAUAUGAAAAAGAACAAAGUGCUAGCUAUCAACAAAACGUGUAAAAUAAUACACUUAUUAUUUGAUACGCAUGAAUUAAUUUCAUGUAAAACAAAAAAAUACCACGAUAUUGUAAUAUUCCUAUUGUAAUAAACACUGAGCAAAACUACAUCCUGUUUACUGCUUUAGACUUUCCUAUAAAAUAGGUGUGAUCGUCGAAUCAUGUUAGUAGAUCAACAGAGUAGGCUGUAACACGAUGAAUUUAUUAUGUGUUUUACUGCUGUUGAGCAUCGCUGUAAAUACGAAAUGUUCUGAUAUAUUUCGUGAUCCAAUUUUGGAAAUAGCAAAAACCUAUGGUAUAUGUAAAGCUGACACCUCAAUAACAGCAGAGUGUAAAUUGAGUUGCGCAUUGGACAAGGCAAAUAUGUUAACCUCGUCUGGAAAUGCAAUUAAUCCUUUGGAAUUUGGUAACUUUUACAAACCGUCCGCCGAAAGUUGUUUCACUUAUAGUGCAAAACCAAAUUGUAAGCAAGCAAGUGAAUUCAUAAGUUGCUUCCGUAACAAAUCAAUCUCCGCAAACAAUGAAGUAGGAACUGAGUGUGGAAAACGGUUUCCAGUCGAAAAUAUACACUUAAUACCGUUGACAGCAGAGGUGUUGGCUAAACAUGAAACUAUUGCUUGCCGAGUCGCUUGCAUUAGUGAAAAAUUGCACAUGUAUACAGAUGAUGGCAAAAUUGAUUUAUCCUUUAUUAAUCCACACAUUCAUUUUGAGUUUAAUGCAACUGAAGUUGUUUUAAAAUGUGACGAAAAUAAUAAACAAGAAAGCCAAUGUCAAAGAAAAGGAAACAUUUAUGUAUGCGUAAAUUAUGCAUUCCAAAAAGCAAAACACGAAUAUAAUGAAAGAAAAAAGUUGCAAAAUAAUAAAACCAAAGUAUAGCAAACAUUAACACCUAUCUGAAAAAAAUUAUACUGCAUAUUAUGAUUGUUAUAUUUGUAUCAAACUAAAAGUACCUACUAAAAUAAUAACCCUACAUCCGAAUAAUUACUAUGAAUUAUAUUUAUUAUAUAAAACAGUAAUCAGUUUAUCAGUGGCGUGUUUUGUAUCUUGUGCAAUUGACAAAAGCCACGGUUUUUCUGACGACGAUGAAAUUAAUUUAGCGUGUGUCAAUCCGUUUGAUGCUUUUAAAACUGCAACACAGUGCCAAAAAAAUAUAUAAAGAAGGAAGUAAAUGUCUUAAAAGAAAAAUACUUUGUUAAAGCAUAUGAAAAAGAACCAAGUGCUACCUACAAACAAAACGUGAAAAAUAAUACAUUUAUUAUUUGAUAUUACAAUAUUGUAAUAUUCCUAUUAAAAUAAACAGGAAAACCACAUCCUGUUUACUGGUAUCGAAUUUCCUAUAAAAUAGAUGUGAACCUCAAAUCAUGUUAGUAGUUCAACAGAGUAGAUUAUAACGUGAUGAAUUUAUUGUGUGUGUUACUGCUGUUAAGCAUUGCUGUAAAAACGGAAUGUACUGAUUUAUUUCAUGAUCGAAUAAAUGAAAUACGAAGAGCCUAUGAUGAAUGUAACAAUGAUACCUCAAUAACAACAGAGUGUAAAGCCAGUUGUGCAUUGGACAAAGUAAAUAUGUUAACCCCGUCCGGAAAUGCAAUUAAUGCUUCUGAAUUCGGCAACUUUUACAAACGGUACGCCAAAAGUUGUUACACUUUUAAUGCAAAACCAAAUUGUGAGGAAGCAGAUGAUUUGGUAAAGUGUUACUACAACAAAUCAGUCUCCGCAACCUAUGAAGCAAUAGACGAGUGUAGAAAACGGUUUCCAGUCGCAAAUUUGGACUCACUAAAAAUGACAGAAGAGGAGUUAGCUAAAAAUGAAACUGUUGCUUGUCUAGUUGCUUGCUUUAGCGAAAAAAUGCACAUGUUUUCAGACGAUGGAAAAAUUGAUUUAUCUUUUAUCAAUCCACACAUUGAUUUCGAGUUUAAUGCAACUGAAGUUGUUUUACAGUGUGAUGAAAGUAAUAAACAGGAGAACCAAUGUCAAAGGAAAGGAAACAUUUUUAUUUGCGUGGACGAUACAUUCACAAAAGCAAAACAUGAAUAUUAUGAAAGGAAAAGAUUAGAAAAUAAUUAAAACAAAUUAAAGCAAAUAUUAACACCUAUCUGAUAAAAUUAUACUGCAUAUUAUUACUAAUAUGAUUGUAUUCAACUAACAGUACUUAUUCAAAUAAUAACCCUACAUCCGCUUCAUUAGUACAAUUCAUAUUUAUUAUAUAUAACUGUGAUCAGUUAUAAUUUUAGCAGUUCAACUCAAAAAGUAGGGUAAACCACAACAACAACAUGAAGUUAUUUAACGUGUUUGUAAUAUUUUCCAUCUUUGCAACUAGUUAUUCAGACCUAUUUUAUGACCCAAUCAACGAAAUGCGAGAAGCUCGAUCAAAAUGCACUGAAGAUGCAUCAUUGACACCAGAAUGUCACACGAGCUGUGUUUUGGAAAAAACCAACAUGUUAACACCAUCAGGAGAUGCAAUCAACACUAAUAAAUUUACAAAAUUUUACAAACAAUACGCAGAAAGCUGUUUUACAUUCAAAUCAAAACCAACUUGUGAGGAAGCUGAUAUAUUCGCUAAAUGCUACUACAACAAAACAAAGCAAGCAAAAGAUGAUACUAUGAAGGAAUGUCUGCGGCAAUAUCCACAAGAAAAUCCACAUGUAAUAGCCCUAUCUGAAGAAAUGAUAGCCAAAGAUGAGAAUCUUGCUUGUUUCACAACAAAAUUGACCUAGCGUCUAUCAAUCCGGAUAAUAAUUUUGAGUGUGAUGCAGAGGAACUUAUUGCAAAGUGUGAAAAACGUAAUAAACAAGAAAGUAUGUGUCAGAGAAAAGCAAUGACAUUCAUGUGUUUCUAUACAUAUUAUUACGCAGUUAAACAACGUCAAUACUAGUGGUAAAAUAAAUUUUAAAAUAAAUAAUUAACAAUAAAUUCCAUUUAACACUUCGCACUUAUAGUGAAAUAAUAAAAUGUUUGUUUUUUGUUCACCACGAUAAACUUUAUUGCAUUGUUACACACAGAUUAAUUGGCAGAACAACACCGCAUCCUGUUUCCUGUUAGAAUUUUAUAACAAAUGAAAUAUUAACAAGUUUCGCUAGUUCAGUUAUAUUGCAGCAGUGUUCAUAACAAGAUGAAAUUGUAUCAUGGAAUUUUAAUAUUUGCUGGCUUUGCCAGUAUCCACUGUUCUCAAUUAAUAUAUUCACCGAUGAUUGAAAUUCAAAGAGCUCGAUUAAUUUGCGCUAAUGACUCGUCUAUUACACCAGAAUGUAAUUGUCUAUGCGCGCUUGAAAAUUCCAACAUGUUGACACCUGCUGGUGAUGCAAUCAAUCCUGAUAAAAUUGGGAAAGUCUAUACAAAAUACGCUGCCAGUUGUUUUAAUUUGACUGCAAAACCAAGUUGUGAUGAAGCUGAACAAUUUGUUAAUUGUUUCCUGAACAGUGCAAGAAAAGAGUCUCCACAAGAAUGCUCGAAACAAUUUAAAGUUAGUGAUUUAAAAUCAAUCACAAUGUCGGAUGAUGGAAUGGUAACAAAUGAAAAUGAAGCUUGUUUUGCAUCUUGCAUCGCAGACAAAGUGUAUGCGUUUAAUGAUGAUGAUACAAUUGACUUGGCUUUUGCUAAUCCACAUUUGGAUUUUAAGUUUAACACACGUGACGUUGCUUCAAAAUGUGAAGAAACUUACAAACAACGUGGUAGUAAAUGUCAGAUACAAGCAAGUAUUUUCAUAUGUUUGUUAACGGCUUUCGAAAAAGUUCAGAGUGAAUAUUUUAUAAAAAUGGAAAAAAUGCAUAAUAAUCCUUAAAGAUUGAAAAAUAACAUUGAUAAUAAAAUGGAAGCAUUGCAAAAA